AUUAUUUACUGUCUUUUCGUUCAGCAUCCGAGCAUGCAAAUUUACAUUUUACGUCACGAAUGUUAAUUCACUAUCAAUUAUUGUCCAAUGCAUAGCACGAACGCGGAUAUCUGCAGCGUAUAUUUAUCGAACAAAUAUUCAUCAGGGAAACGAAAAUUUCACACAAGUUGUGCUGACAAUGAGUGAUAGAAGUGGACGUACUAUUCCUUGCGUCGUUGCCUCGUAGAAAAGAAUAUUUACGCGUCAAGUUAUCGUCAAAGUCGCAUCAACAUUUAGACUGCUGCAAUCAUGAGAAACAAUUUUUGCGAUCGAUUGGAAAUAAGGAAAUAAAUGGAAACAACGUCGGCAUUGUGAUAUUGAUUUUUUUUUCUUUUUAUCCUACCCGGCAAUAUAAAAAUUGCUAUCGACUUCGCAGUGUUAAGAACUACACGUGAUCCUCAGUGAAUGCGAAAACAUAACUUGGUCUUAUAUUUUUUUUCAUAAACGAAUGCGACGAAAGCUGCGUGAAUAAUUACGACCUUGAAUUUCAACAAACUACACAAGCAUUUAUGUUUAUCGACAAACCUGUUUAAAGUUCAGAAAGAAAAAAAAAAUUCUGUAAGUCGGUACUUGUCGCAUCAAUCACACGAGGACAUAUUUAAUGCGAAUGGAAUGACAGGAACAAAUAUUUUUAUUACAUACAUCAAUUCCGAAGAGCUUGGAAAAUAUCUCGCAUUCUACCGCGGACCAGUUUACAUCGAUGUGUGUAUCGCCAAAUUGUUGGCGUGAGGAUAAGUGACGUUUAAUCGUAAAUGUGGUGUUGCCAUGAAAUUGUUGACAAGGAUUUCAACGGACAAGUACAUCUUUCAAGGGAGCCCUGAUCCACCAGGGCCGUGCGAAAGAUGACGAGUCUUCGAAACACUACUCGUAUCACGACUCCUGUUCCCAAGAUUACUAGUUUCCGUUUCUUUUCUCUCUCUGAUAUCAAGUCUAUAAUUAGAUGCAGUUGUAAGCGAUAUUGGUCCGAGUAGUUUAUCAGAAGCAUACGAGAAACAUUGUCAGACGUGCCAAUGUUUCAAAGGAGAGGAGGAAAAAAUUACGUAAAGUUGACUUGAUCUGAUGAAUAGGAAUCACAGAAUUGUCAGAAUGAGCACAUGUCGGUGAAAUGACGGUUAGUAUAACUUUGGUUAUCAUCAUUCUCUUCCUGAGUGUGAUACAUUAUACACGUAUGAAGAGCCGUAUGAUAAGAUUAAAAAAUGAUAUUUCACCAUUAUGCUAGAUGAUUCUCAGCUCGAGAUCGGCUUGCCGCAAUAUUAUCUGACCUCCAAAAAUUGAUUUCCAACGAUAUUUACAAAAUUAAACAAGGUAUAAAUCUUUCUUUAACUCCAAAAUUCCAUGCCAUUGGAAUAAAAAUUUGGAAAAAAGAUUAGAGCAAACACAGUGUUUACGUUGACAAGUUCCCGUGCAAUAAAAAAAAAAAAAAAUCGUUAAUAUCAUAAUAGCAAAAUAUCGACUUUAUUCGAACAAAACGAGGACCAACAAACCUAUCACUUUGCGGCCGGCGUAGUGUAUAAAUCGUGUAAGAAGUUAGUGUUUAAAUCAGUUUGUCAAGGUAAAAAUAAUUUCCUCCCAGAACUCAUUGUGAAUUAUAUUAGUGUGAUCAUCCGAAGUAUAUACACGUCCGCUUGCCGCAUAGUUUUCCGAUUGUUCUCGCAUUUCAUGGCCGUAGCCGGAAAAAUUUCUAUUCAAAUUUUGUCUCUGUAGUUUCAAUGACUAAGACUCAAAUAUUUACCGAGUUAUCGCACAUAGUCGAGAGCGCAGGGACAGCACACGGUGAGGUAGCAAGUUAGGUACUCGGACCGAGGCGGAGCAACCUUUCCUUCACAAUACAUUCUUAACUAUUGAACCGGGCUGUUUGGCCGGGAAGAUAUUUCCGAGAAUAUUUCAAACCGAAAUACUACUGCAUUUUUUGUGAAGGACAUUAUAUAUAUAUAUAUAUAUUUCUACAGCAUGAAACUGUAGGUAUGCGAAACGAAGGUUAACGAGGCCCGAGCAAUAGAGACAGUUUAGCUCGAAAGUGUUUCGUGGACGGUUGAAUUUUCAAAACUAAAAUUCCGGACUAUCCAAAGGGAACCCAAGGAAAUGUAGCUCAAAAAUGUACUUAAAAAAAGAAACGAUUUCAAGGAAAUCAAUUCACCGAUAAGUGCGGGGAGAGUUUCGGGCCGAGUACAAGUGACGGUGUAAGCGCAAGUGCCAAAUAACUAAGAACUGCGUGCACAGAGGUGCACUUUUUUGGGAUCAACAGAGAAAAAGCUGCAGCUGCAGCAGUUUUCGCUUUCACGAAAAAGAGGCGUUCGAGAGUCUCCAUAACGCCGGCAUUUUGUUUUGCACAAGAAUAAAAAAAAAAUGUUUUUCAAAACUUGAGAGUUUUAAUAAAUCAAUGUCAAAAUU
rnacentral:lncRNA from 1 species